CAACUCCAGACCGGGCGGGGUGACUCGGCAGCCCCGAGGUCUGAAGGACUGGAAGAGCGAUCGGGUCCCGGAUGUGUGGUUAAAGAGCACCACAUUCACCCCGAAAGACUGGAGGUUUGCAGACCGGCAGGAGGCCCCUGGGGCCGGGCGUGGUCUCUGGACUAUUUUAAUGGGCCUUUAUGUCAGUCAUCCUCUGUGGGUACUUUUAGUUCUGCUGAAGAAUUUACAAAGUGUUUUCUACGGCAAGAGUUCUUAAAAAGGAAUGGUCACUUCUGCACCUUAGAAGUGCUGCCGAAGGAAGGGCCUGGCAGGACGCAAGCACCUUGAUAUUGGACCACCAGCUUCCGGAACUGAGAGCUGACUUCUCUUGUCUCAGUCUGUGGUAUUCUGUGAGAGCAACAUAAAAUGGACUGAGACCCAGGCACUACUCGUGAUUCUUGCUUGAUCUUUCCCCAUGGCUAAAAAUCUCACAGUGAGUUUCCCUUUGCCUUCUGAACAAAUCUCAACCUCUCAGCCUGGCGUAUAAGGCCUGGGGGAUUGGGCCUUCGGCCUCUUGCCCAGUCAUCUCUCUAACCCCAGGUGACCAGCACUUUCCCUCUCAGAUGAGUUUGGGAUGCUCGACUUCUCAGAAUCUCCAUGUUCCAUGUGGACCCAGGAAGACCGACCCACCCGGUGGAUACACUUUCUCCUCCUGAGGUCCUAUACUCGCUCAGGCUUGUAUUCUUCACGAAUUUAUCUCACAGAGUUCACUUAUGAUUAAUAAUUUCUCUCACUACUCCCCUAAGGGCACACCCGGGAAGACAUCCACCUUAUAUUAAAGGCCACUUCCCAUCUCUGGCAGACUGAUGGAAAACACUCCCCGAGUGCCUGUUGGAAGAUUUUGGUCUAGCCUGAGUGGUUCCACAUGUGAUAAUAGCUUCUGGGUGAAUUGCUAUCCUCUUAUUAAAUUGUCAGAAGGUGUUAACUUGUGUGUUUUGGUGCUUUGAAGGAUUUCUUUGUCAGUAGGUGGUAACUCAAGGCAGUAGGAUUUGAGCAUUGGCAGCGUCUUGUGUUCAGAUGGACUAGGAAAAGUGGUACCAGGAAAACCAGUGUCAUUCAACUCCAUAAAUUUCAGAGGAGGUGGAAUCAAUUAUAGAGUCUUCUAUUGCUCAUGAAGGAUUAUUAGUAUAUACUACAGUAGACCCUUGACUAACAAACUCGAUCAGUUCCUGAGGGCUGGUUGUAACUCACUUUGGUGGUAAGUCAGUACAGCUGAGAUCUGCAUGUUUCCCUGAGUACACGCUAUAGAUAACAAGAGGCAGAUGAAUCUUUCAUUAACCUAAUUAACCCAAGUUCUUUGUAUGUCAGGCCGGCUG
rnacentral:lncRNA from 1 species